AAAUGAAUAGACGGGGGCCCGCACAAGCGGUGGAGUAUGUGGCUUAAUUCGAGGCAACGCGAAGAACCUUACCUGGGCUUGACAUAUACCGGACAGGGCAUGAAAGUGUCUCUUCCUUCGGGAUCGGUAUACAGGUGCUGCAUGGCUGUCGUCAGCUCGUGUCGUGAGAUGUUCGGUUAAGUCCGGCAACGAGCGCAACCCGUACUGUCAGUUGCGAACAGGUGAAGCUGAGCACUCUGGCGGGACUGCCCGUGUUAAGCGGGAGGAAGGCGCGGAUGACGUCAAGUCAGUAUGGCCCUUACGUCCAGGGCUGCACACGUACUACAAUGGUCGGUACAGUGGGAUGCAAUACCGCGAGGUGGAGCAAAUCCUCAAAACCGGCCCCAGUUCAGAUUGCAGUCUGCAACUCGACUGCAUGAAGCCGGAAUCGCUAGUAAAGGCGUAUCAGCAACGACGCCUUGAAUACGUUCCCGGGCCUUGUACACACCGCCCGU
rnacentral:rRNA from 1 species